AUGGCUGUGGACCUCGCCGUCGCGCCCGUCCCUCUCAGUGACCUGGACCUCGCAGAAUUCGACCGCGUCACGGCAUUCAAGCACGACGUGCGGGUCAUGCUUGCGGAACAACCACCGUGGUCUCCAUCGACGGCCGCCAUAUCCGCGUGCGCAGCGACGGCGGGAGCCGGAGACCUCGAGCGCCUGGUCGACAGACCCUGCGGAGGCGAGGUGAGAAACGACAACGGUGUAGCCUCCCACAAGUUCGUUCGCCUCGUCGCCAAGCGCAUCAAGAUCAUCAAGCUUCCGACAAUCCUUUCCAUGGCAAUGGUUUGCAAGACCGCGUUAAGGAGCGUGAACGUAAUUGUCGCCAAGAGCAAGUUCCACAACGCCAAGAACAAGAAAACCAAGACGGCGACGCUCUACAACAAGAACGACAACACCGUAAGGAACAAGCCCUAG
rnacentral:rRNA from 1 species